rnacentral:rRNA from 1 species
GACGAACGCUGGCGGCGUGCUUAACACAUGCAAGUCGAACGGAAAGGCCCUGCUUUUGUUGGUUUCUCGAUUGGCGAACGGGUGAGUAACACGUGAGUAACCUGCCCUUGACUUUGGGAUAACUUCAGGAAACUGGGGCUAAUACCGGAUAGGAGCUCCUGCUGCAUGGUGGGGGUUGGAAAGUUUCGGCGGUUGGGGAUGGACUCGCGGCUUAUCAGCUUGUUGGUGGGGUAGUGGCUUACCAAGGCUUUGACGGGUAGCCGGCCUGAGAGGGUGACCGGCCACAUUGGGACUGAGAUACGGCCCAGAAUCCUACGGGAGGCAGCAGUGGGGAAUAUUGCACAAUGGGCGGAAGUCUGAUGCAGCAACGCCGCGUGCGGGAUGCCGGCCUUCGGGUUGUAAACCGCUUUCGACUGUGAUGAAGCGUGAGUGACGGUAAUGGGUAAAGAAGCACCGGCUAACUACGUG